GCCAGAGCGAGUCAGUCAUGCAGCCAAAUACAUACCUACUCACCAGCCAGCCAGCUUGCUAACCAGCCAACGGAUACAUUUUUCCGACAUUCAAUUGGAAUAAUUUGUUAUUUCGCAGACGGCAUUCGAGGAAGACGCAUGCAAGCGAGCUAAUAAGCCGGACAAACGCAAGGCAAGCAGAACCAUACAGUGAGCUAGUGAGCGCGUGUGAACACCACUUAAGUGAGUGUGAAUAGUGAAUAGUUCUCGAAUAAAUGAAUGGAUAAGAAAAAAGAAAAGAGAGUUGGAAGAAAAAUACAAAAUUACAGUAUAAACAAGUAUUAAAAACGACCAACGGCCGAAAAUAGCGCUGUUGAAUAACCACAAUAAUCGAAAAAAGUCGCGUAAGGCGUCAAAAAAAAAUAAACAAAGCGACGAGAAUAUUGCCAUCACAGUGCAUGCAAUACAAACAAAAAUAGUAUAAAUAAACA
rnacentral:lncRNA from 1 species